rnacentral:rRNA from 1 species
UACGUAGGGUGCGAGCGUUAAUCGGAAUUACUGGGCGUAAAGCGUGCGCAGGCGGUUUUGUAAGCCAGAUGUGAAAGCCCCGGGCUCAACCUGGGAAUGGCAUUUGGGACUGCAAGGCUUGAGUGCGGCAGAGGAGGAUGGAAUUCCGCGUGUAGCAGUGAAAUGCGUAGAUAUGCGGAGGAACACCGAUGGCGAAGGCAAUCCCCUGGGCCUGCACUGACGCUCAUGCACGAAAGCGUGGGGAGCAAACAGG